UAAAGUGUGAAGGCAAAACCUUGCCCUUAAAUUUAAUCUGUCAUACCAAAUUAACUUAAAAAAACAUUAAAUAACAAAACAUGUUAAAUAAUAGACACAUUCAUUGCAUAUGGAUAGGAGGCAAGUGUCCAGAAAGCCUGAAAAAACAACCACACGCAUAACAGAUGAAAAUGUUGCACCUGUCUAUGACACACAGAAAAACAGCCGAGGUUCAGCUCCAUAACUGGAAGUUUAUUACUGAAUGUUCAGCCAUAUACUUUAUAUUAAUUAUGAAGGAACAAUAAAAUAUUACAUCUGGUUCAUUGUAUAGUAUUCCCUUUAUAGCCAACAAUCAUAUACACUACAUAUAGAGUGUCAACAAAACACCUCACUACGUAUCUUGUCUAAUGUAUAUUGCAUGCUUUCUUCACUAUCUGAAGUGUACAAACACGGCUCCUGUGUUUAAUUACUUUAACUAGUCCAAAAGUAAAAGAUGGUCUCGUUAAUGGGUGAAACUGAAGGGAUGGAAAUGGGACAAAGGGGUAAAGAAAGAGAGGGAGAGAGGACAUAACAGCCAGACGCCUCAGGGGGGCCUGAGGGAGACUAGUCACACCAAAUGUCUAAUAAGAGUGAAGUAAAAAUGUGUUUGUGUGCGUGAGCAUAGUGUCUAAUGAUACACUGCAGUGUUUGUGUCAGAGUAUGAUGUCUGAGCGCGUGAGUGUGUUACCAUGAACGCAUCAACGUAAACCGGACGGAAGUAACAGAGGUUAAAUCUCGCGGCUGACAAGAACAACCCCCAGGCUCCAUUCUGGUGGAAAGGAAACUCGCUAAAGGCGCGAGCAUACUGACCGACUGUGCUUCUCUCUGCUCCGUCUGUGUGCCAAGGCAGCACAGGCCAAAUCCAAGCAUGACCUGAAGACAAGAGAAGCAAGGCUGGCCUUUUUUUAGUGUCAUAGUUUACAGUGGAAGUCAACAAAGAUCCAACUAUUCAAACAGAUUCUUCUUGGGAGUUUGACCAUUUUUUGCAAAAAUCUGACAAGAAUACUGACUCCAGGAUUAACUCUGUGACUGAUGGAUGGUACUAUGUACCAGAGGACAUGCUAAUGAUUUCGCAUAUAGUAUAUUAAGGGUGGCAAUCACAGAUAGAUAGUAUUACCCAAAGAACAGAGUCCAAAAUUUAGUUUCUUUAAAUUUGUGGCCAGUAGUGAAAAUAAAAUGUAGAUUUGAACUAUUAUCAUCUUUUAUAGAUAACAUGGCAAACAGUGGUCGACUGACAAAUCUUAGUCCAAUAUUCACUUGGUUUCCAACUCGUGAUAAAAGCUGCUAAACACUCCUAACUUUGUCUGAGCAGGUAGCGAGCAUACAGUGAGUUUAUUAGCACUUUAUCAUUGGACGCAGAUGGAAACUAACUUAGCAGUAAUGGGACUCAACCAAAACAGUAAACCUGCUGGCCUGAAAGACCCUAAAACGCUCAGCAGAACUGAGGAGAGUCGUGUGACUAUUCUCUUUACUAUGAACGCCGUCCACAUUUUACAGUUAUUUGAUCCAUUGUAAACGUAAUAUUAACUAGUGGAGAUUUAAAUCGUAUAUCAAUGAACAGCUCAGGUUUCCUGGCUCAGAGCUAACAGCUAACUAAUCAACCCGGUGUCAUUUCUUAUUUAUAAAAGGUCAAACUCCCAAAAUACCAGCUACUUCCUGAACCCAUACAGUAGUGGACUCAUAAUAUAUAAUCCAGCAGUUCCGCCUGUAAACUGUGUUAUCGUCUUUUGUUUUUUCUGAUCGACAAAUACACGGGACAUCAAAAUUUAUAGACACUGGCAGCUAUCUAAGACCAACAUGCAUCUUUACAGUAGAAUAAAAGUCUACAGGUCGACAGACUCACUUGAAAAAAACAAAUUAUAUCUGAAGUACUUAUGGUUUGUGGUAUUUUUCAUAUAUAUACACACACACAAACGCAUUACAUUUUCUUAGAUUUUUUCCUUUUAGAAUUGUAUAUAUUAAAUAUCUCAUAUUUAUGUCUUCCAUUACUUUUUUUUCACACAUUAGCACUUGUAAGAAUAGUUUGUCACAGUAAUACAGUAUAUUACUGUAUUGCAGGUACCUCAUUGUAGAAAUGUGACUUCUGCCACUUGAUGCAUGAGUUAGUAAAUCUAAAGAUUUAGCUUGUGUGGGAACAAUUCAGUUAAACAAUUUCUCUUAUGGACGGGCCAAACACGUUUGGUUUUGACAGUGUUUAAGUGAUUUUUAAAAAGUUUGUGACUUUUAAAAUCUGGUAUGAAAACAACUUUUUCUUAACGCAAAUUGUACCAAACUUUUUUUUAAAAAGAAGCUCAAAGUGCAAAAAAAAGAAAACUUUUCUUGUGUGAUUGUCGAAAUGUGCUCUGCGACCCUGACGGCUACUAAACUUUGGAAAAAUAAACUGCUGUUGACACAAAAAGUAAAAAUCAUUGGAAAGUGGUUGUAUUGAUGUCCAUGUCACAGGAACAGAAGAUUUUUUACAAGCAACAAAAACAGAGAAUGAAAGUGCAUUUAAACAUGAAGAGUCUCAGAUGACAGGGGUUGUACCAAAAUGAUUUUUCACCUUAAACAUAAAGAAUGAAGUGAGUACCUGAUAAAGUACAAAUGUUAAUACUUGCCACUGGACUUGGAAUGCCGGUGAGGAAUGUUGGACUUUCUUUUUCAAGAAAUAAACCUUCAGGUUUGAUAAGACCGGUGGCAGUUUCACCUCUUCACUUAAUAAAGUCAACACCCACACCGUAUACAUUAGUGUCACAAAUGAGAUAACAGAGCAAAGAAUAUUUACAUACUGUAGUGCAGUGUGGCACGCUGAGUGCGGGACAGCCAGAGGUGAACGUGCUGACAAUCCUCAACUGCUAAAUUAUCACAGAUCAAAAAGGUCAGUGGAUUCAUUUAAAGAAAUUGCUGACCCCGGCAGGUGUGUGUCGUUUUUGCCAUCCUACUAAUGACCCAUAAGUUAAACCAACAAUUUCAUAUCCGUUAUUGGCUUUUAAGAUGCUCUCUUUAUGGAAAAAGCAGAGCUCUGUGCUGAUUUCAAGCACACCCAAAUGCUUAAAAGAUGCACACAUGAAAACAUUUUACACUCUGUAAAUUGUUAACUGACUUAAUGGAUACAGAUCUUCCAUCAAUAAAAACCACAAAAGAAAAAGUCGUUAAAAUUCCAUUUAAAUAGAUGAUACGUUUACAAAGGCUUUCGUGUGAGGAGGAAUAAUCAGACAGACAGGCAGCCAGUGCUUGUUGAAGGAGGGAGGCCGGAGGUUGGGAGAGGACAAGACCAGGCUCGCUGAAUCUCAUCGAAAAACAAUCUUUUCUUUUGAGAAAAAGCAAUUGAAUUCUUCCCUAAAGCUCUCUCCUCCUCCUCCUCCUCCUCCAUCCCUCUUCAGCACUGGUGGUCAGUAGUAAAAUUCACAUAAAACCAAACAUAUACACAGAAAACAUAUAAACAGAGUGCCGUCAUUUUACCUCUCCAAGCGGACAAGACGAGAGAGAAAAAACAUGAACACAAAAAAAAGAAUAAAAAAAGUCUUCCUGGAAAGGAUGAAAAAAAAGAGCGAGGAAGCUUUGACAGAGACAAAAACAGAAUCUGAACUUAAACUAGCGUUUAGUUUGUGCACCGCAAUCCCACUGUCAUUAUUUGUGUGGGCUUAAAAAGGAAAAUUAAUUGGAAAUAGAAUAUACAUGAGCUGUUUUUUAUGUGCACUGACACACGCAUGAACACACGUUGGCCCCUGACGACAAUAAGAGGUAACUUCAGUGAAAUUAAAGCAUCAGAAAAACUAAAACUGACUUCUGCACACCUUAAGUCAAUGUUGUUGGCUAAGUGGUCACUUUCUGAGCUGUGACAGGACUUAGUACCACAUUAUUAAAUGCCAGACAAAUAAUAAUUUGUCAAACUGAGCAAAUCUAGUGUUUCGAUGGGAAGGGAAAGGAAUACCCUUGUGUGUUUGCCUGAUUUUGGUGAUUCAGGCUCAAAAUAUGAGCCGAGUUUUUUAAAUUAAAAUGUCAUAGUGCGGCUUUAAGUCGUCAUCUGAAAUCUACUGUGGCUUUUCUGUUUAAGAUUACUGCAUGGUGUCCCUCGGCAGGCUGCAAAAGUGGCUAACUAACUGGCCCAACACACACAUGAACACACACAUACACUGAGUAGUCUCUUUCUAUUUGGUAGGAAGUAUUACUGUCGAAAAGCAGAUGUCUCAUCAAGAGAUUAAGUCAAGCAUGUGUGUGUGUGUGUGUGUGUGUGUGUGUGUGUGUGUGUGUGUGUUGGGGUACAAUAUAAUAGGAUAAUCAGGCUGAGCUCAAUUCACCAAUUUAACAAACAGUUAAGGCUGCAGCACCGCUUGCUGGUCAGCUACUGACAUUACAGCUAAAACAGAAACUUUAAAACUCAUUUUUAAGUCUGGAUCCGGAUGAAGAAAUUCAAAACCCCUUUUCCUUUACGUUACCUCAAAUUCUAGAAAAUACCUCCUUAACAUUUUUACUUGCAAACAUGGAAAAGUUGUAAAAAGAUGUGCAGUUUUUGACAUUCAUUUGUAGCAUUCAGUGUUUUAAAUUGCUUAUCCAUUUGCAGCAUGUGAAGCCUUUAUGAAGCAAUCUUAGUCAAAUGUCGCUACGAACAAAAUAUCAAAAAUCUGUAGUGAGAGUUACUUUUUCUCAACCUUAAUCAUUUGGGCCAACUGUAUGUAUGAUGCAAAGUUUUCCUGAACAAAGGCGGCCACUGUUCCUCUCUCUCUCUCUACGCAGUUUAAAGCGUCACAAAAGUGUCACAAAAGUACGAGGUUAAAGCUUCACAGACAUAAGUGUGAACAUAAAGCUUGUAGUCUGGCAACACCACAGUAAAGCUGACUGACCGGAUGAAAAUGGAAAUGAUGAUAAGAAAAAAA